AACGCUAGCUACAGGCUUAACACAUGCAAGUCGAGGGGCAGCAUGAUUGAAGCUUGCUUCAAUUGAUGGCGACCGGCGCACGGGUGAGUAACACGUAUCCAACCUUCCGUACACUCAGGGAUAGCCUUUCGAAAGAAAGAUUAAUACCUGAUGGUAUCUUAAGCACACAUGUAAUUAAGAUUAAAGAUUUAUCGGUGAUGGAUGGGGAUGCGUCUGAUUAGCUUGUUGGCGGGGUAACGGCCCACCAAGGCAACGAUCAGUAGGGGUUCUGAGAGGAAGGUCCCCCACAUUGGAACUGAGACACGGUCCAAACUCCUACGGGAGGCAGCAGUGAGGAAUAUUGGUCAAUGGACGAGAGUCUGAACCAGCCAAGUAGCGUGCAGGAAGACGGCCCUAUGGGUUGUAAACUGCUUUUAUAAGGGAAUAAAGUGAGUCUCGUGAGACUUUUUGCAUGUACCUUAUGAAUAAGGACCGGCUAAUUCCGUGCCAGCAGCCGCGGUAAUACGGAAGGUCCGGGCGUUAUCCGGAUUUAUUGGGUUUAAAGGGAGCGUAGGCCGGAGAUUAAGCGUGUUGUGAAAUGUAGAUGCUCAACAUCUGAACUGCAGCGCGAACUGGUUUCCUUGAGUACGCACAAAGUGGGCGGAAUUCGUGGUGUAGCGGUGAAAUGCUUAGAUAUCACGAAGAACUCCGAUUG
rnacentral:rRNA from 1 species